AAUAGAUACCCGGGUACGUCCACGCCGUAAACGGUGGGCACUAGAUGUGGGGCUCUUUCCAUGAGUUCCGCGUCGCAGCUAACGCAUUAAGUGCCCCGCCUGGGGAGUACGGCCGCAAGGCUAAAACUCAAAGGAAUUGACGGGGGGCCCGCACAAGCGGCGGAGCAUGCGGAUUAAUUCGAUGCAACGCGAAGAACCUUACCAAGGCUUGACAUAUACCCGUUUAUCCCUAGAGAUAGGGAGUCCUUCGGGGCGGUAUACAGGUGGUGCAUGGUUGUCGUCAGCUCGUGUCGUGAGAUGUUGGGUUAAGUCCCGCAACGAGCGCAACCCUCGUUCUAUGUUGCCAGCGCGUAAUGGCGGGGACUCAUAGGAGACUGCCGGGGUCAACUCGGAGGAAGGUGGGGGAUGGACGUCGAAAUCAUCAUGCCCCCUUAUGUCUUGGGCUUCACGCAUGCUACAAUGGCCGGUACAAAGGGCUGCAAUACCGCAAGGUGGAGCGAAUCCCAAAAACGCCGGUCCCAGUUCGGAUUGAGGUCUGCAACUCGACCU
rnacentral:rRNA from 1 species